CCGCGAAAACUAUUUAGGUAGUGCGUUGAAUAAUAAGAUCUUGAGGGGUAGAGCACUAAAUAGGCUAGGGGGAAGAAAUUCUUACUAAACCUAAUAAAACUCCGAAUACUCAAGAUUGUUUCUCAAUAGACAGACGGUGGGAGCUAACUUCCAUCGUCGAGAGGGAAAAAACCCAGACCACCAUCUAAGGUCCCAAAAUCGUAGUUAAGUGUGAAAGGAUGUGAAGACUCCAAAACAGCCGGGAGGUUGGCUUAGAAGCAGCCAUCCUUUAAAGAAAGCGUAACAGCUCACCGGUCUAAUUAAGAGACUUUGCGCCGAAGAUGUAACGGGGCUCAAACUACGUACCGAAGUUGUGGAUUUAAAGUGUCUACGGACAUUUUAUCUGGUAGCGGAACGUUCUGUAAGUCUGUGAAGGGAUACCCGCGAGGGGUCCUGGAGAUAUCAGAAGUGCGAAUGCUGACAUAAGUAGCGACAAACAGAGUGAAAGACUCUGUCGCCGAAAAUACAAGGGUUCCUGCGUAAAGUUAAUCUUCGCAGGGUUAGUCGGCCCCUAAGGCGAGGGCGAAAGCCGUAGUCGAUGGGAACAAGGUAAAUAUUCCUUGACCUGAUGGUAGUGACGGAUCUCGUAUAUUGUAAGUUCUUAUUGGAUUGAACUUGCCUUGAAGAGGUCCCAGGAAAUAACUCCAUCAUUAAGACCGUACCCUAAACGGACACACGUGUAUUGGUAGAGAAUACCUAGGCGCUUGAGAGAAUGAUGUUGAAGGAACUCGGCAACUUGCCUCUGUAACUUCGGGAUAAAGAGGGCCUUAUUUUGCGCAAGCAGAGUAAGGUGGCACAAGCCAGGGAGUAGCGACUGUUUAACAAAAACACAGGACUCUGCUAACACGUAAGUGGAUGUAUAGGGUCUGACGCCUGCCCGGUGCCGGAAGGUUAAAGCAAGAUGUGCAAGCAUCGAACUGAAGCCCCGGUGAACGGCGGCCGUAACUAUAACGGUCCUAAGGUAGCGAAAUUCCUUGUCGGGUAAGUUCCGACCUGCAUGAAUGGCGUAACGACUGCUCCGGUGUCUCCAACAUCAACUCAGCGAAAUUGAAUUCUCCGUGAAGAUGCGGAGUUCCCGUGGUUAGACGGAAAGACCCCGUGCACCUUUACUACAACUUUACAUUGGUAUUAGAAAUGACAUG
rnacentral:rRNA from 1 species